rnacentral:rRNA from 1 species
AGUCAAUGAUCGAAAGAUUGAUCUAGUUACUUAGAAAGAUGAUACUUUUGAAAUAAUAAUAUUUAAUUUAAAUAUUAUUAAGAAAAUUUAAGAAUGAAAAAUAUAAAAUCUGACAAUAUUCUAAAUAAACGAACGAUAUAAAGAAUAUUGUUAUGGUCUCAACCCAGAGUAGUGCCAGCAGUUGCGGUUAGACUACGGAGGCUAACGUUAAUCGGUAUUUGGCUUAAAGGAUCCGCAGGUUAUAUCGAAAAGAUAUUAGAGUUAUUUAGCUUAGAAUUAUUGAACAAUCAUAGCAAGAUAUAAAAUGUGAUAAUCAUGAUUGUACAUUUAAUAUUGAAAAUUAUAUUCAGGCAUUUAACUGACACUCAUGGAUGAAGGCGUGAGUAGCAAAUCGGAUUAGAUACCCGACUAGUUCACGCAGUAAACUAUGAAUACUACAAAGUAAAGUUUAUAAUAACAACUUUAUCAACAGUAUAAGUGAAAACUUAAGUAUUCCGCCAGGCGAGUAUACUCUCAAGAGUGAAACUCAAGACAAUAGGCGGUUACAGGAAUAUGCAGUGGAUUGUGUUAU